UAAUACGGAGGGUGCGAGCGUUAUCCGGAAUUACUGGGUUUAAAGGGUGCGUAGGCGGCUUGUUAAGUCAGGAGUGAAAGUUUGCGGCUCAACCGUAAAAUUGCUUUUGAUACUGGCAGGCUAGAAUCAGGAUGAGGUUAGCGGAAUGUGGCAUGUAGCGGUGAAAUGCAUAGAUAUGCCAUAGAACACCAAUUGCGAAGGCAGCUGGCUAGACCUGGAUUGACGCUGAGGCACGAAAGCGUGGGGAGCGAACAGGAUUAGAUACCCUGGUAGUCCACGCCCUAAACGAUGCUUACUCGACGUAUGAGGCUUGUCUUUGUGCGUCCAAGGGAAACCGUUAAGUAAGCCACCUGGGGAGUACGACCGCAAGGUUG
rnacentral:rRNA from 1 species